rnacentral:rRNA from 1 species
CAGUCGUACCGGCGGAUAAUCAGCCUUUUGGGUGUGAUUUUGUGGAGCGUGAGGAGUUUAACACCUUCAUGCUUUUGCAUAUUCGUGCUCUUGGGUGUACUUGCCCGUGUGGUUGGUUAACACCAAUUUCGGUCGUUCAUAAAAUGAUUGGAGGAAUGUAGCUUGGUCUCGUAUCGAAGUGUUAUAGACUCUGGUAGAUGUGACGAUUGGGGAUUGAGGAUUGCAGCGGAUACCUUCGGGGCUACUCGUCUGAUCUCUG